UACAGAGGGUGCGAGCGUUGUUCGGAAUUACUGGGCGUAAAGCGCGCGCAGGCGGCCUUUUAAGUCUGACGGUGAAAUGCCGGGGCUCAACCCCGUCGCCCGCCGCGGAUACUGGGAGGCUGGAGACAUGUAGAGGCAAGCGGAAUUCCGGGGUGUAGCGGUGGAAUGCGUAGAGAUCCGGAAGAACACCGGAGGCGAAGGCGGCUGCUGGGCAUUGUCUGACGCUGAGGCGCGAAAGCGUGGGGAGCGAACAGG
rnacentral:rRNA from 1 species